rnacentral:rRNA from 1 species
GUGAGGAAUAUUGCGCAAUGGAGGCAACUCUAACGCAGCCAUGCCGCGUGCAGGAAGAAGGCGCUACGCGUUGUAAACUGCUUUUAACCGGGAAGAAACCCCAGGACGUGUCCUGGGUUGACGGUACCGGAGGAAUAAGCACCGGCUAACUUCGUGCCAGCAGCCGCGGUAAUACGAAGGGUGCAAGCGUUAUCCGGAUUCAUUGGGUUUAAAGGGUGCGUAGGCGGAGCGUUAAGUCAGUGGUGAAAUCCUGCAGCUUAACUGUAGACUUGCCAUUGAUACUGGCGCUCUUGAGUGCGCUUGAAGUGGGCGGAAUGUGCCGUGUAGCGGUGAAAUGCUUAGAUAUGGCACAGAACACCAAUUGCGAAGGCAGCUCACUAAGGCGAUACUGACGCUGAGGCACGAAAGCGUGGGGAUCGAACAGGAUUAGAUACCCUAGUAGUCC